rnacentral:lncRNA from 1 species
GGAGGGGAGGGGAGGGGCGCGGCCGGCCCACAACACACUGCACACGCGGAGACCUGGCGCGGGGCGCGGGGCGGCCUCCCUCCUCCGCCGCCCCGCAAGCCUGGGCGCCGCAGCCCCCGGCCCCCGCCUCCCGCACCCCGCUUCCUUUGUCGCUGUGGAUCCCCCUCCUGGCGCUGGAGGGGCCCAGGCGGAAUCGCGGCUGACUCCACACUACCCCAAAGAAUUCGGCAACCCAAGCAAUCUGAACGCAAAGUCAGGAACAAUGCACUAGGAAGGCCACCGCAGCCCUGGGGAAGAAAGCAGCGCCGCAUGGAGUCACCUGCGUGGGGACCCGCGACAGUUAAUAGAGGAACUGACACCACGUCAAGAGAAGUAACUGAGGCCCCUCUGUUAUGGCAGGAAUCUCAGUGUUCCUGGCAACUGUGUGUCUCUCUGUUCAGAGAAUGCAAGCGUCAACAGAGUCAUCGCUGGCCCAGGUCUGUCCCAAAUGAUAGUGGAUUCAUUCUUGCCAGCGUCUCUAGGGCUUGUGAAAGUGAUCAACAGCUCCGUGGGCUCUAAGAGAACUUCAGCAGGUACAGUUGGUGACCGUCCACCUCCCUUUUUAAACUAAGGAAACUAGACAGGUUAAUCUGCUUUUUGGAUCCCUAAACUUUCCACUGCCCCAGGUAUAGUGCGGUUUGUCAUACACAAGGUACUUCCACUCCUCUGCAGCCCUUGACCAGUACAAUCAAUUAUCCUGGCAAAGCAGUGCAAUAAGUAUGCACCAUGUGUCAUCAUCCCAUCUUACCCCAAGAUGCUUAGGAGUGUUGAAAUCACUAGCCCAAGGCCAGCCAGAGAAAGCUAGAGGAUGACCCAGAAAGAGAACCCGUUUCCUGCCAUGCAUUCAUGGGAAAGGCUCUCUUACUCCUCUUCUGUUUAGAGGCAACCUUCAAUAUUUCUACCCAAUAAUUAAGUUUGUAACAGCGACGACAACAAAUCUUGCAGAGGUCUCCUUGCUUCUGUAUUAAUACUUGG